AAUGUUAAGAGCAGUGCAGAAGUUUCAGAGGGAAGUUUAAAGAUUCUAUCAGGGCCAUUUGUUAUUUUGAAUUAAGGUUCUGUGGUUCUGGCUAGCUGGGGGCUGAAGAACCAACUGUGGUUAGCAAGAUACCAGAAUUACCAAAGAGGAACUUUGCUUUAUUGGGAUACUUGAUCGUAGUCUGCUGGAGCAAAGAAAUUAGUAGUGAUUAAGAGGAGACCAGCAUCACCGAGGUGAAAUCUUCUGGGAAGUGUUUCCUGAGAGCACAGAGAAGCUGUGUUCCAGAGGUAGUCAAGGUUGUACCUCACGUUUUGGCAACUGGACUUGGUUAUUGGUAAGCGUCACCCAGGUGGUGCUGGUUUUGAAGGCAUGAAGGGGGUCAUGGAGAGCAGCUGAGGCUGGGCACCGUGAGAGGCCGUUGGUGAAAGUGCAGCCCGGCUGCAGCAGAGGGCGCAGCCUCCGUGGCAGUUGAAGGCCCAGGACUGAAGGGGUCGUGCAGGGAAGCUGAGCCUGGCAUUGUGAGGAGAGCCAUUGAGAGGCCGUUGGUGAAAGUGCAGCCCGGCUGCAGCAGAAGACCCCGGCAUUUUGGGGACACCAGUACCACAGGAUGACCACCAAGAACAGCAGCAGCAGCGGAACCAGCCAGAUCCUAGAAGACGCGCUGUCUGUGCUACCCAGGGCAGAGCUGGAGAAGAGGCCAAGCCUUAAGGAGGAGCCCAGACGACUAAGCUGUGUCAAGACCUGCUCCUGGUGGCCUUUAUUUCCCACCUGUGACAGAUGGAAAUGUGGGCUCUCAGGGUUCCUGUGCACAGUGGCAUCCUGUCCAUCCUGCCAGUGACAGCGCACUUCCUUAGAGACAGUUCCUGCCUUCUGGCAGGGGCCCUACAACCUUGGAGUUGUUUUCAUUUUCUCCUAUGCUUGACAUCAAGAGAAACUCAGCAGGCACAAGAGCGUGGUAGAGUAGCUGAGACAAGCUCUUAUGACGUCACGUUUGACACGGAAGGGCUGUCGGACGGAUCUUUCCUCACACUGAGGUCCCACUGAGCAUCAGUGACACUCAUGUCCUCUGCCUUCUGGAUGCCUACUUCUCUUACGAGACCUUGAUGGGAGCCAGCCAUUCAUUCCGCUGAGCCUGAGCGAGGACAGAUACUAUUGGAACAGGCCAGGGCUGAGAAAUGGCCACCUGGGAGAGGGCUUCCAAGUUUUGGGGGAUCUCCGUGCAGGUCCCCUAUGGAAGCCUGGGGAUCUUACCUCUCUGCAUCUCUUGCUUUGGAACGGUAACCUUCAGAGAUCAGGAAGAGCCUGAGAUUCAGACAACUCAAUAAAGUCACAAUAAAACA